rnacentral:rRNA from 1 species
AUUGAACGCUGGCGGCAGGCCUAACACAUGCAAGUCGCACGAGUGGAGGACGGGUGAGUAAUGUCUGGGAAACCGCCUGAUGGAGGGGGAUCACUACUGGAAACGGUCGCUAAUACCGCAUUCCCUCGGAUGUGCCCAGAUGGGAUUAGCUAGUAGGGGGGGUAAAGGCACACAUAGGCGACGAUCCCUAGCUGGUCUGAGAGGAUGACCGGCCACACGGGAACUGAGACACGGGCCAGACUCCUACGGGAGGAAGCAUGGGGGAAUAUUGGACAAUGGGCGAAAGCCUGAUCCAGCCAUGCCGAGUGUGUGAAGAAGGUCUUCGGAUUGUAAAGCACUUUAAGUUGGGAGGCGUUACCAACAGAAGAAGCACCGGCUAACUUCGUGCCAGCAGCCGCGGUAAUAC